UCUAAAGACAAUGAAACCCAUGAAAAAUCAUCAUCAAGCUUCCUCGUGUGCUUUCAAUGAGUUGAGCGCUUCGCAAGGGCACGAAUCUAAGCGUUGUCUUUGACAAAGAGUUUUUAAUUGGGGAUUCUUUGGAGACCUUACAGAUCUAUCACUGACGCUUCCCCACUAAAAAUUCAAUAGGAUUUUUGGAUUAACUCAGACAGUAUAUGGAAAGAUGCUGUUGAAUACUUAUCUGAAAAUGUCACUGUGGACCAAUGCUUAUUUCAAAACAUGGAAUUAAUAAUUGGUGAAAGUCAAUAUUGCCAAGAUAACCACAGUGAGGCUGAGAUUUGUAAUGAUAAUCACUUAAAGAUUCAGGAAUCAAGGAAAGAAUUUUUCACACAUUUUCAUGCCACAGACUA